UUGAAAAGAAGUGUGGAGAUCUAGAUCUAUAAAGAGUUGUAAAUGAACAUUAUUUAUUGUUCAUUAAUUUUUUCUACACUGACUGCAGAUCGAGUGCAUCAUCAUGAUCGAUCACACAAGUACAAAUAUACAAGGCCGCCAUGAUAGUGUGUCAAAAGUGAUGGCAGUUUUUUCAAUACCGUAUAUAGUGAGCAGAUUGUUACCUCCUCCAGAGAUUCUCAUGGUUCAACAAUGACCCAGACACUGUCCAGCUGUACAUUGACUACACCUGAUGGCCAACCUCAUCUCCGCUCAGACCUUCCAUCUCAAGAGCACACUCACUUCGUUCUUACAACAGCUAUGGAUACCAACUAACCCAGCUAGUGUGCAUGAGCUGUAACAUCCACCAGGCUAUGGACCCCAGGGCUCCGUCAGUGCUCAUGCCACUCAUCACCAAGAACUAUCCCUUUAAAGGGAGGGGACUAGACAUUCAAGUCGUCAUUGUACGUACAGUCACUCUAUCAGGAGUGGGAGGAAAUGGAGGUGAGGAAAAACGGUGUCCAACAUCUAUUCCACUAUAGCCUCUGAUGCAAUUACCAGAUUUUACAUGUAUCCCCGGUACAUUGUACGUAAAGCAUGUGACAUCAAUUGUUAGGUGGAGAGCGAAAUAAUUACACACAACAAAUUGUGGUACAUGUACGACGACAACGAUUUACACGUACAGACUUAUCUAUUAUGGUUACUAUGCAUCACUGUAAUAAUUAUUAUGGUUACUAUGCAUCGAGGGGGCCCUUGUUAUCAUUUUGAAUAACUGCCAAAGACAUCAUAAAUAACCAAUCACAGUGAUGUAGUUAACGAGGAAGCAUCAUAACUGCGGCCUCACCUCGGUUAUAGAGGUGCUCGGGCGUGGCCCCGUAUAUCGCGCAUGUGUGACUUACUGGCUUACACGUGCAUAUCGGGCUGCUCAACUUUCGAGCCUCCCACCCUCCCUGUCAUGCAGACAUUACUCUGACCACUCCUUUCCAUCUUUUGAUGUGAUUACCAGUAAGGUGGCUGAAUGAGCCCCCCCCUCCCCCCCAACACUUACGUGCUUAAUGCUAACCGCAUGCAGGGGCCCCUCUCUCAGUACUUCCCCAAAACCUAACCACAGUCACGUGACCCCAAAUCCCGUCUGGGUUCAAAGGGCACGCGACUCCAGCUUAGACUAAUUAAUAUCCACGCCUCGGAUAUGACAUACUAAUUCUUGCAUAUUCGUGCGACCAUAGUUACAUUGUAAUUAUGUAAUGUUUUUCUCCUCUCAGCUGGAAGAUGACCACAGCUCUAUGGCCUCCUCUCUCCUCAACAGUCUGCCCAUGACUACCUCACUGGACUCAUCACUACCUUACUCUGUACACUUUUUAUAUAUAGAAUGAAAUCAUUUUCACUCCUGUUCGAACAUCGACAGAAUCGAUUUGUAGGUAAAAAUUUGCAAUUUGACGAACACUUUUCCUGGGCGUGCUUACCGGAACGCAUGCAAUGCUGUGCAAGGAAGCAAACUCACUGCAGUUCAAGUUCAAUGAAUUUUUACGCCCCGAAAAUUACCCACUACAAUGUAUAAGGUACAAUGAAGAGUGUCAUACAGGAUUUUGAAUUAAAGUGGAUCGAUGCUCUGCAAAUGUUUGGGGUUUGGGGGGUAUUUUAGUUGCAUUACAAAUGUAUUACCGUACAUUUUAUGUGUCAUUUGUUCAAAAAUAAUUAUAUAAGGCACAGGUUGUAUAAUAAUUAUAAUGAUGCGAGUAUAGCAGGCACCUCCAAUGCUCACACUCUUACUUCUUCUCAGGAGCAGUUAUAGGUUGCACACCGUCACUGCAUAUGUACCUAAGUUUUUCUUCUAAUUGAGCACGAAAUAAUCAACAUAAAUUUUUAUACAAAAGCAGAUAUAAAGAACACAUAGAAGUAUACGUAAUUACAUAACAUUACACUAAUUAGGCUGUAACAAUUCACACACUUGAGUGUAUCCAUUCUUAUGAGCCAGAUCGUAGGCAGAUU